GAGAGUUUCAAGACUUUUAGAGAUUCUUCAGGAGCUUGAAUACGUCAAGUAGUUGCAAGGAAGAGUAAGAAAAUUCUCGGCCAAAGAGUUAGUUACAUUUUUACGUAGGUAUAUGAGAGUUGAGUAAUUAGAUUGUUUUUCUUUCACAACACACCACCUCAAAGUGCUCAUAGUCCUCCAAGAAGGUCUCCAGUAGUUGAUAGAAGAAGUCAUUCACCACGAAGGAUGGGAUCUCAAAUACUUGUGCUGACAAAGAGCCGUCUUCAAACAAUUUUUUGACACAAGCUUUAGGUACACAAGAGAGUAGUGGACGUGUACAUAGAGUUAGCGGGUUUGUCACUCCAACUACUUACUUCCACAUAGCAAAAUGCUCAAAGAAACAGAGUGAAUAAAUUGAGAAGCUUAGUCAAGAGAAUGAAACACUUCAUUUGUGAGUUGAAGAAUUAGAGAAUAUUCACAUAUCAACACAAUCUACACCAACAUCUGCACAUGGAUCAUGCUCCAGACCAAGAUUGGCAUACGAUAUUCAAUGUAAAAAGAAUCUAGAAAAUGAGAAAAUGAAUGUCAUAACGAAAGUGGUUAAAGAGGAGGUGAAUAUGGAUGUGAUUAUUUUGAAUGAUCAACAUGAGGAUGCUACCGAGGUUCGUAAUGAAAAGGUUGUCUAUGAGUCCAAUAUCAACAUGUCACUACCUUUGAAGACAAUACUCAAUUUGCUGAAAAGGUAUUUGCAUUCCUAAAGAUCAUGUUUCAAAUUACAUCUUCGUUGACCCAUCCUAUAUAUUUGUUGGACACAACACCCAAGAAGUUAAAGCUCGCAAUUUGUGAGUAGAUUAAUGGCUUCAAAACAAAACCAACUCGUUCUGGCUCCAUUUAAUCCAGGUGUCUUUUGCAAGUUGGAGUAGUUGAAUGUGGGUACUAAAGAUUAAACAUGCAUGGCGGACACUACAAAAAGUAAGGCCACUCCCGACGUAUAAAAACGUCGGCAUAAGUGUAAAUAACGUCGGAACUGAAUUUUCGAUGUAGAAAGUGACCUCGAGAAGACCGUUGGAAGAAAGCGUCAGGAGAAAGAUUCUUGAUGAGUCCCCAAUACGACAUCAGGAAUAUACUUCUUCCGACGACCUCGUUACCGACGUUUUCAAUGCAUCCAAAAUAAGGCAUCUCUAACGUCCGCAGUUCCGACGUCAUCUAUGCGUCGGAAAUAACUAUUUUCGAAUGUUAGCAUAGUCGAUGUCAUCCAUGCAUCGAAAUUAACCAUCCCCGACGUAACGA